rnacentral:sRNA from 1 species
GGCCCGGCAGGGCUGAGCCUGUGCGUCCUGGGGUGAGGCCUGGGAGGGGCCCGGCAGGGCUGAGCCUGUGCGUCCUGGGGUGAGGCCUGGGAGGGGCCCGGCUGGCGGGGCUGAGCCUGUGCGUCCUGGGGUGAGGCCUGGGAGGGGCCUGGCGGGGCUGAGCCUGUGCGUCCUGGGGUGGGGCCUGGCGGGGCUGAGCCUGUGCGUCCAGCCACCGGGCCGGCGCCCUCCCUCUCCCACUUCCUCUCCUGUCAGGAACCAGCCCGAGGCCGCCAGGGUGCUCCUGAGUGCUGGGUGCCGGGCGGACGCCAUCAACAGCACCCAGAGCACCGCACUGCACGUGGCCGUGCAGAGGGGCUUCCUGGAGGUGGUGCGGGCCCUGUGUGAGCGCGGCUGUGACGUCAACCUGCCUGACGCCCACUCGGACACGCCCCUGCACUCCGCCAUCUCGGCGGGCACUGGAGCCAGCGGCAUUGUCGAGGUCCUCACGGAGGUGCCAAACAUCGAUGUGACCGCCACCAACAGCCAGGGCUUCACCCUGCUGCACCACGCCUCCCUCAAGGGUCACGCGCUGUGAGUGUGGGGUUGUGGGGUGGGCACACAGCUGCAGCCGGCCUCUUGCUGUGCUGCCUGGGGGCAGUCCCAGGUCCCAGACCAACCUCCCUGCUCCACAGAGCUGUGAGAAAGAUUCUGGCUCGGGCGCGGCAGCUGGUGGACGCCAAGAAGGAGGACGGCUUCACGGCGCUGCACCUGGCCGCCCUCAACAACCACCGCGAGGUGGCCCAGAUCCUCAUCCGGGAGGGCCGCUGUGACGUGAAUGUGCGCAACCGGAAGCUGCAGUCCCCGCUGCAUCUCGCCGUGCAGCAGGCCCACGUGGGGCUGGUGCCGCUACUGGUGGACGCUGGGUGCAGUGUCAACGCCGAGGACGAGGAGGGGGACACCGCCCUGCACGUGGCGCUGCAGCAUCAUCAGCUGCUGCCCCUGGUGGCUGAUGGGGCCGGGGGGGACCCAGGGCCCUUGCAGCUGCUGUCCAGGCUACAGGCCUCGGGCCUCCCCGGCAGCGCGGAGCUGACGGUGGGCGCGGCGGUCGCCUGCUUCCUGGCGCUGGAGGGCGCCGACGUGAGCUACACCAACCACCGCGGUCGGAGCCCGCUGGACCUGGCUGCCGAGGGUCGUGUGCUCAAGGCCCUUCAGGGCUGCGCCCAGCGCUUCCAGUGAGUCCGUGGACGGCGGGGAUGGGGUCCGGCGGCCUCCGGGACCCUCUCAAGCCGCCUCCUCCCCCUGCAGGGAGCGGCAGGCGGGCGGGGGCGCGGCCCCAGGCCCCCGGCAAACGCUCGGGACCCCCAACACCGUGACGAACCUGCACGUGGGCGCCGCGCCGGGGCCCGAGGCCGCUGAGUGCCUGGUGUGCUCCGAGCUGGCGCUGCUGGUGCUGUUCUCGCCAUGCCAGCACCG